rnacentral:rRNA from 1 species
AGCACGCCGCGUGAGCGAUGAAGGCCUUCGGGUCGUAAAGCUCUGUUGUCAGAGAAGAACAAGUACCGGAGUAACUGCCGGUACCUUGACGGUACCUGACCAGAAAGCCACGGCUAACUACGUGCCAGCAGCCGCGGUAAUACGUAGGUGGCAAGCGUUAUCCGGAAUUAUUGGGCGUAAAGCGCGCGCAGGCGGUUCUUUAAGUCUGAUGUGAAAGCCCACGGCUCAACCGUGGAGGGUCAUUGGAAACUGGGGAACUUGAGUGCAGGAGAGAAAAGUGGAAUUCCACGUGUAGCGGUGAAAUGCGUAGAGAUGUGGAGGAACACCAGUGGCGAAGGCGGCUUUUUGGCCUGUAACUGACGCUGAGGCGCGAAAGCGUGGGGAGCAAACAGGAUUAGAUACCCUGGUAGUCCACGCCGUAAACGAUGAGUGCUAGGUGUUGGGGGGUUCCACCCUCAGUGCUGACGUUAACGCAUUAGGCACUCCGCCUGGGGAGUACGGCCGCAAGGCUGAAACUCAAAGGAAUUGACGGGGGCCCGCACAAGCAGUGGAGCACGUGGUUUAAUUCGAAGCAACGCGAAUAACCUUAGCGGGUCUUGACAUCCUCUGACCACUUGAGAGAUCAAGCUUUCCCCUUCGGGGGACAGAGUGACAUGUGGUGCAUGGUUGUCGUCAGCUCGUGUCGUGAGAUGUUGGGUUAACUCCCGCAACGAGCGCAACCGUUGACCUUAGUUGCCAUCAUUAAGUUGGGCACUCUACGGUGACUGCCUGGUGACGGACCGGAGGAUUGUCGGCUCAUGACGUCAAAUCAUCAUGCCUCUGAUGACCCGCGCUAGACGAGUGCUGCAGUGUGUAGAUACAAACUGAUUGCAAAGGCCGCGGCGCGCUCAUCCAAUCCCAAAAAUCACGUCUAAGUUCGCACUGUACGCUAGCACUCGGCUAGCUUGGAAGCCUGAUUUGCCUAUGAAUCGCUGAUCAGCUGCGUCGAUGAGACGC